UUAAAAAGGAACGACAAUUUUGUAAAGAACAAAGCAAGAAUACGGGGUAGGUCAUUGAAAAUAAUGGGCCAAGCCAAAUAACUUUAUUUUACCCUAACAUUUAAAUCACAGUAUAAAACUAAAUUUACCUAAACCCUAAUUCAUUACUUUCUACCCACCGGCGACCACUCUCUCACUCCCUCACCGACUCCCUCAAACACUCUCUCUCUAAACAACUAAACGGUUCCUUUCUUCCUCACUCAUCAGUUCAUCUCAUCCUCUGCUAGACGGUUCAUUUUUCGUUCCUCUUCAUUCACUUGGAUCCGUCGUAAAUUUGAGGGUGAAUGUAGAAGGUGAUGAGAUUCCAUUGACAAAGUUGCCUCCGGUUGAGGCUCACCAGCCAUCCUCCUCCAACAAUUUAUAAUGUUCUUGUUUUAAAUUCAAGUUGUAAUUUGUGCCUUUGAGGCAACCUAAUUUGGUCUGUAAAACUAUUAAUACUUUGUGCAAACCUAUUAGGGUGUGCUAACUUUAAUGGCACCUUUAACUCAA